rnacentral:rRNA from 1 species
UACGUAGGGGGCAAGCGUUGUCCGGAAUCAUUGGGCGUAAAGAGCGUGUAGGCGGCCCGGUAAGUCCGCUGUGAAAGUCCAGGGCUCAACCCUGGAAUGCCGGUGGAAACUGUCGGGCUAGAGUCCGGAAGAGGCGAGUGGAAUUCCUGGUGUAGCGGUGAAAUGCGCAGAUAUCAGGAGGAACACCAAUGGCGAAGGCAGCUCGCUGGGACGGUACUGACGCUGAGACGCGAAAGCGCGGGGAGCAAACAGG